UACGUAGGGUGCGAGCGUUUGUCCGGAAUCAUUGGGCGUAAAGCGCGUGUAGGCGGUUCGGUAAGUCUGCUGUGAAAGUCCAGGGCUCAACCCUGGGAUGCCGGUGGAUACUGUCGGACUAGAGUACGGAAGAGGCGAGUGGAAUUCCCGGUGUAGCGGUGAAAUGCGCAGAUAUCGGGAAGGAACACCAAUUGCGAAGGCAGCUCGCUGGGACGUC
rnacentral:rRNA from 1 species